UUAUUUCAACCUAAUUUCUUCUGUUCUUUGGUGGAACUGAAUAAACUACAUUUGACUGAAGAAGCAAGAAGUAUUUCAUCCUUAAGAAGCUGGUACUCAAAGACAUAAGCUUCAGAACUUCAUGACAGUUUUAAGCACAGAAAUUAAUCAUCAAAAAACAAAGCAGAAGGAAGGCACACUCUGAAGGCAAUAUAGAAGAGAAGAGCAGUGACAGCUGGGAGCCAUCCGAAGUAAAGAAGGCCAUUUGCAGGAGGUUUCCUACCCCAGCAUGUCACCAUCCUCUACACAAGGCUCUCCCUCCUGCAACCCCUCACUGCUUCAUUAGCUGUAAAUGAUGUAGCUUAGAAAGGAAGCAGCACUUUAUUAACAUUCAGAGAGGCCAGCACUGUGCAGAGAGAGUCAUUGUUGGUAAUCAUCAAAUCAAGGCCCAACAUUAUCUUCUGGCUCCCUCCCAAACUUGGACACUCCAAAACGUGACUGUCUUGUUCCUCAUCCUCAGUAACUGGACUUUAAUAACAUCAUCCUUGCCAUUCUUGCUUCCAACACUAAAGAAGAAAAUCAGUACUAACUCCAGUUGCCAACCACUCCCACACUGCCCCGUAAGUGUGAAAAGGGCAGUAAUUACAAUGGAGUGAACUUCCUGGCCCAAAAUGCCUCUUUUCAGCGCUGUCUUAGAAGAUGCCAUCACAAUUUGUGUUUUCUGUGGUUACAAGGAUUACUCUCUGGCAUGCUUUCAUGCAAGUUUACCCAUCCAAGCAGUAGCUACUAUUUCAGGGUGAAAGUAACCUAUCUAGAGCAGAUUUCAUUUAUGCCUGGUGAAGGUAAACCUAGUCAGUCACUUAACAACACUUGUGACAUGCUACUGCUUCACUGCGUUGAUUGGAAGCCUCUAUUAAUUAGGUGAAUACCAUUCCCCCAGUGCUUGUCACUAAGAGGUGAGACACUUGCAGUUGUACAAUCAUGAGUACAUGUUGCACUUUCAAUAAGGGAGGUAAAGGAGUUUCCAAAGUUCUGAUAAUUUCAUGCCUGAUCCCUAUUCUACAGCUAAAUAAAAUACUUGUUCUCUACAGCACUCCAGCUGCCAAACACACUGUUUCUCCAAAUGCACAAAGUCCCUUCUGCCAACUACAAAAUUUGGUACCUUCUUCUCAGAUGUAGCAUGAAGAAAAAAAUAUCUUUCAGUCCUGUAGCUUCUCCAGCAAGAGAGGAUACAAAAUUCUGGUAACUGAGUCAAAGCUUCCCUCACAGCACUCUGCUUACAAUAAACCACUACUGCACCUAAUUUGUGCUUUCAGAUGAGAAGGAACAGGUAGGUUUAAAUGCAAAGAAAUACGCAAGAUUUAUGUUGAGGUUUGUAUAACUCCAUAAUACAGAUGGAGAAUGAGAAAACUCUCCCACGUUCAUGACAGCUUAAAAAACCAGAGAUGCUUCUUUUUUGCAGACUGUCACGUCAAACAUUGUAAGCCAUGACUGAAAUAAUAAGCCACAUGACAGACUAAUCCAGAGAACAGAGGCCUGGAGGAGUUUCUGUCUACGCAGAGAGAACAACACAGAUUAACCAAACAAUGGUAGAUGAUCUAAAAAUUAAACCCAAAUGGAAAUCUGAAAAUGAGGGAUUUUUUAGAUAACAAUUAUUUACCUCUUUUUGGCCAGCAGCAGAACCUCCUGAGAAUUCUGAUUUUUAAAAUUAAUUUAAACACAAGUUGCCAUUUUCUCUGACAGAACCAAUCAUCCAAAAACCCAAAAGGUUUUGUUGCUUUUUGUUUCCUUUUUUUUUUUUGUCUCCUGGCAGGAAAUAAACAAAUGACAAUCUUAAGAGAACUGUCCCCUUAGCUCAAGCAUGUUUGUGGUCACAAACACAACCAUUACCAAUGGGAUACUCUGAACUAGUCUGCUUGGGCCUAGCACACCUUCAUCAUUUGUCUACAAAGUACCAAAACUGGGAGACAAACAUCCCGCUGUUUGAAACAACAUAGACGUAAGAUGUGGAAUAGCUUAAGAUUACAAAACACUCGACAUAUACAAAUAUACUGAAAACACAGAGGUAGCCAGUCAGAAGGAAAGAAUAUAAAUGUGUGAUGAAAGCACAGGGCAAGCCUUCAACCUGGAGGCCACCUGCAGCUCACCGCUGAGCACAGCCUUACAGCACUUUUUUUUGCUAAUGUCACAGAGACCUUUUUCCUAAUCAAGAAACUUGACCUUUACCAUCUCUUCUGGAUUAUUGGGCUGAAAGGUGAAAUGGUUUUGGUGAUAAUGAGAACAAAAUGUAGAUUCCAUCUCCUCCUUAAGUUACUGAGAGCAUAAACAAAGAAAGAAAAAUACCUUGGCCUUUAUUUUAGUAUUUCAUAUGCAAGCCAUUUUUCUUGAUUAGAUGGCAAAACACCAAGACAUGACCAACUUUACACUAUUAAAAACAAAACCACAAAGCUUGGAACAAAAGUAAAACAAUCCCUCUGUGAGAAAUACAUGUUUGAUCCGAUCAAUUCAUUGCAAGAGGUCACAGACAGGGAGGAAGGGGGAUUUUGAAUAGAGCUGCACUCCUCCUUGCACCACCAUCUCAAAGGUAUGCAAUAGGCUUAAGAUAACAGUAAUAAGUAACUAGAGAGAUUGGUGGAGGAGGGAGGCAUGUGGAAGAGACAACCUUUUUGCAUGAGCAAACAGAGGAAUACAAAGGAGUUUGGAGUUCAUGGAAAGGACACUUGAGGAAGACCCCUUACUUUAUCACUGAAGACCACCAGAGGAACCACCAGAUAAAAAGAGACAUACAUGGAAGAGACAACUCCCAUUCCUAAAACUGAUAAGGAAAACUCAACCUUUUCUUAGAAGUAGUAAUGAAUAUGUAAUAGAACAGGGCAUAAAAAGAGAAAACUGGAGGCAAAGGGUGUGCAGAGCCUCCCCACGCACCCAGGCCUGUACAUUGCUUGAUUCCUGCAACUCUAUUAAAAGCCUUAACUUACA